GUGGGGAAUAUUGGGCAAUGGGGGAAACCCUGACCCAGCGACGCCGCGUGAGGGAAGAAGGCCUUAGGGUCGUAAACCUCUGUUGUGUGGGAAGAAGAGCGUGACGGUACCACACGAGGAAGUCCCGGCUAACUACGUGCCAGCAGCCGCGGUAAUACGUAGGGGACGAGCGUUGUCCGGAUUUACUGGGCGUAAAGGGCGCGUAGGCGGUCAUUUAAGUCAGCUGUGAAAUGGUUUGGCUUAACCGGAUCAUGCGGUUGAAACUGGAUGACUGGAGUGCUGGAGAGGCAAGUGGAAUUCCCAGUGUAGCGGUGAAAUGCGUAGAUAUUGGGAAGAACACCGGUGGCGAAGGCGACUUGCUGGCCAGUAACUGACGCUGAGGCGCGAAAGCCAGGGGAGCAAACGGGAUUAGAAACCCGGGUAGUCC
rnacentral:rRNA from 1 species